rnacentral:rRNA from 3 species
GGGCCGCACGCGCGCUACAC